rnacentral:rRNA from 1 species
UACGGGGGGGGCAAGCGUUGUUCAGAAUUACUGGGCGUAAAGGGCUCGUAGGCGGCCAACUAAGUCAGACGUGAAAUCCCUCGGCUUAACCGGGGAACUGCGUCUGAUACUGGAUGGCUUGAGGUUGGGAGAGGGAUGCGGAAUUCCAGGUGUAGCGGUGAAAUGCGUAGAUAUCUGGAGGAACACCGGUGGCGAAGGCGGCAUCCUGGACCAAUUCUGACGCUGAGGAGCGAAAGCCAGGGGAGCAAACGGG